UACGUAGGGACCGAGCGUUGUCCGGAAUCAUUGGGCGUAAAGAGCGUGUAGGCGGCCACUUAAGUCCUGCGUGAAAUCUUGCGGCUCAACCGCAAGCGGUCGUGGGAAACUGGGUGGCUAGAGUGCGGGAGAGGAGAGUGGAAUUCCUGGUGUAGCGGUGGAAUGCGCAGAUAUCAGGAAGAACACCGGUGGCGAAGGCGGCGAGCUGGUCCAUUACUGACGCUGAGGCGCGACAGCGUGGGGAGCAAACAGG
rnacentral:rRNA from 1 species